AGAGGCUUUGCCCACACAAAGCUCAUUGCAGGUUCAGAGCAUAAUAUGCUGGGCAGAGGAAGAAAGAGACUCCAUGCCACCAACUCCAAAGGAACAAGGGGAUGGAGCUCUCCUCUCAUCCCCCAGCUCCUCCUCCACUCCAGGAUGGAAACAAAAUGGCUGUCCUCUCCCUCUCCCUUUCUGAAACAAAAUAGCAGGCCUGGAGGAGAGAAGCUAGUGAAGUGCCAAAAUACUGUAAGAAAAUACACGUGAUCUGGUUUGAAGUGGAACAGGACCACAAGACCCAAGUAGUCUUACAGACAAUCCUAUGUACAGCUGACUCGAUUUAAUUCCACACUUUCCAAGUCAGGUCUACAGUUGUGUGAUCUGAAGAGCAGCAAAACAACAAUAGAUGUGCCACUUCUCACAGGUAACAGAAGAC